rnacentral:rRNA from 1 species
UGGGGAAUAUUGCACAAUGGGCGAAAGCCUGAUGCAGCGACGCCGCGUGAGGGAUGACGGCCUUCGGGUUGUAAACCUCUUUCAGCAGGGACGAAGCGCAAGUGACGGUACCUGCAGAAGAAGCACCGGCUAACUACGUGCCAGCAGCCGCGGUAAUACGUAGGGUGCAAGCGUUGUCCGGAAUUACUGGGCGUAAAGAGUUCGUCGGCGGUUGGUCGCGUCGUUUGGGAAAACCAGGAGCUACACUGCUGGCUUGCAGGCGGUACGGGCAGACUUGAGUACUCGAGGGGGGACUGGAAUUCCUGGUGUAGCGGUGAAAUGCGCAGAUAUCAGGAGGAACACCGGUGGCGAAGGCGGGUCUCUGGGCAGUAACUGACGCUGAGGAACGAAAGCGUGGGUAGCGAACAGG